rnacentral:rRNA from 1 species
GAUGAACGCUGGCGGCGUGCCUAAUACAUGCAAGUCGAGCGAACAGACGAGGAGCUUGCUCCUCUGACGUUAGCGGCGGACGGGUGAGUAACACGUGGAUAACCUACCUAUAAGACUGGGAUAACUUCGGGAAACCGGAGCUAAUACCGGAUAAUAUAUUGAACCGCAUGGUUCAAUAGUGAAAGACGGUUUUGCUGUCACUUAUAGAUGGAUCCGCGCCUCAUUAGGUAGUUGGUAAGGUAACGGCGUACCAAGGCAACGAUGCGUAGCCGCCCUGAGAGGAUGAUCGGCCACACUGGAACUGAGACACGGUCCAGACUCUGACGGGAGGCAGCAGUAGGGAAUCUUCCGCAAUGGGCGAAAGCCUGACGGAGCAACGCCGCGUGAGUGAUGAAGGUCUUCGGAUCGUAAAACUCUGUUAUUAGGGAAGAAAAAAUGUGUAAGUAACUAUGCACGUCUUGACGGUACCUAAUCAGAAAGCCACGGCUAACUACGUG